rnacentral:lncRNA from 1 species
GGGAGAGGAACUGGCUGUCUCUGGGCUCGGCCGAGAGGUCCCAGCUACUUCCUGGUGCUCGGAUUUGCAUAUUGAGCCCGGAGGGCGGGGAAGUGACCGUUUGGUCCCUGCCCAAGGUUUGGGUGUUUGGUGUGGCCGUCGCGCAGGGCUUUGAAGGCACAGAAACCUGGCGACUCAGUCUGCAGCUCCGGGGAGUGGAGCAGCCCGGGCCAGCCUUCUCCUGUAGGGACGGACGGAAGGAUCUCCAGAGGAGCCUGGGCUUCGCAGGCACAUCGACUACACCUCUCGCGUCUCCUUUCCUUUCCUUCCGACCCAUCCCCAAGCCUAGAUCCUCUGGAUUUAGAACACACAGACUUUUGCCAAAUUGCGUGCUGAUUUUUCUGGUAAACCAAAUGUUAUAAGCUGAGUAAUGUCUGACUAAAAUUCCUAUGUUGAAGUCUAACCCCCGGUACCUUGGAAUGUGACCGUAUUUGGAGAAAUGGCCCAGUCUGCGAUACUUUGCUGUGGCAGCCCUAGAAACCAAUAUGCCAACCAACCCAUAAACAGACAAAAAACCAGGAAAGAACUAAAUGCACAGGAUUCCAAAUCCAGUGGCAGCAUCUCCCCUAUCAUGUCCUUCUUCCAGGAUAAAAAUACACAGAUGGAGACACAACUGUAAAUGUAGUGCAUGUACAGACACACCCUCCCUCUGCUCACAAGGAGGCCCUAGGAGAUGUUGCACCUCAAUCAAAAUGAACACCCAGUGCCCAGGUCUUGACUUCUAAGAAGAUACAGGACUCCCUGGGGAAGAGGCCAAUGCUAGGGCUGGGGCCAGGAAGGUACAAGAUGAGCUUGGAACACCCAGUUGAGGCUGAAAGUGAGGACUCAAAACAUGAUGGGAACAGUCCCAAAAGCAUACCAGGGCUACCCUAAAAAAGCUCCCACUUGCCAAAGCUGGGUCAAUUUAACCAGCUUUGGUUAAAUUAUAAAAUAAUGUAAGUAGCAAAUUAUAAUGGAGUGUAACCUGUAGAAGAAAAUACAAAUCAUAAGUCUAUGCUGACAUUUACUUCUAUUUAUUUAUUUAUUUAGAGACAGAGUUUUGCUCUGUCGCCCAGGCUGGAGUACAGUGGCGUGAUCUUGGCUCACUGCAACCUCCACCUCCCAGGUUCAAGAGAUUCUCAUGCCUCAGUCUCUGGAGUAGAUGGGAUUGCAGGCACGCAGCACCAUGCCUGGCUAAUUUUUUUUUAUUUUCAGUAGAGACAGGGGUCUCGCUAUGUUGCCCAGGCUGGUCUCCAACUCCUGGUCUCCAAUGAUCUGCCUGUCUUGGCCUCCCAAAGUGCUGGGAUUACAUGCAUGAGCCACCGCGCCUGGCCUGUGCUGACAUUUAAAUGGGAAGCUUGAUGAGGAACAGAAUACUUACCUACUUUCAAAGCUUCUCUUCAGAAAAUACUUAGUUAUAAAGGGGAAAAGAGUUAACCAUUCAGUGGAAAAACCUGGCCGACAUCAAUUUCAAGGGGUCAAAAUAAUCAUCAGACAAACUGGUAUUGCUACCAUCUUCUAGGACACACAGAAAGACAUGGCAUCACCAAGGAAGCAGAGCCUGAGUCAAUCAUAAGAAGAAGCAUCAGACAGGCCUGAGUGAGGGACUUUCUUCGAAAUAACUGACCUGUAAUCUUCCAAAGGUCCCAGGAACUGUCCUAGUCUAAAUGAUACUGAAGAGAUCUUCGCUCAAUGCAAUGCCUGACUCUGAUCUGGAAGUCUUGCUCUAAAGGACAUGGUUGGGACAACUGGCAAAACCUAAAGGGUAUCUGAAGAUUAGAUGGAAGUAAUACAUCAGUGUUAAUUACCCAAUUUUUAUCCUUGUUCUGUGGUUUUGUAGGAAUUGUGUAGAAAGUAUUAAAGGGUGAUAGCGUUUUAAAAUAGGAUUUAUUUAUUUAUUUAUUUAGAGACAGAGUCUCCGUCUGUCA